GACUCCGUAGCUCAGUUGGAUAGAGCAGGUGCCUUCUAAGCAUCAGGUCGGGUGUUCGAGCCACCCCGGAGUCGCCA
rnacentral:tRNA from 2 species